rnacentral:rRNA from 1 species
UGGGGAAUUUUGGACAAUGGGGGCAACCCUGAUCCAGCCAUGCCGCGUGCGGGAAGAAGGCCUUCGGGUUGUAAACCGCUUUUGUCAGGGAAGAAACGCGCUGAGCUAAUACCUCGGCGUAAUGACGGUACCUGAAGAAUAAGCACCGGCUAACUACGUGCCAGCAGCCGCGGUAAUACGUAGGGUGCAAGCGUUAAUCGGAAUUACUGGGCGUAAAGCGUGCGCAGGCGGUCUUGCAAGACAGAUGUGAAAUCCCCGGGCUCAACCUGGGAACUGCAUUUGUGACUGCAAGGCUGGAGUACAGCAGAGGGGGAUGGAAUUCCGCGUGUAGCAGUGAAAUGCGUAGAUAUGCGGAGGAACACCGAUGGCGAAGGCAAUCCCCUGGGCCUGUACUGACGCUCAUGCACGAAAGCGUGGGGAGCAAACAGGAUUAGAUACCCUGGUAGUCCACGCCCUAAACGAUGUCAACUGGUUGUUGGGAAGGUUCCUUCUCAGUAACGUAGCUAACGCGUGAAGUUGACCGCCUGGGGAGUACGGCCGCAAGGUUG